ensembl:ncRNA R173.7 ncRNA
AACAACGGAAGCGCUCUGAAAAGAAAAAAAUAAAAAGAUGAUGUAGAACAAGAAACGCUAAUUUUAACUGACGACAUUGAAUAUCCGAUUCUCACUAUGUGCUCUUGUGCUGAUUGCACUAGCACA